UACGUAGGGAGCAAGCGUUGUUCGGAUUUACUGGGCGUAAAGGGCGCGUAGGCGGCAUAUUAAGUCAUCUGUGAAAUCUCCGAGCUUAACUCGGAACUGUCAGCUGAUACUGAUGUGCUAGAGUGCGGAAGGGGCAAUCGGAAUUCUUGGUGUAGCGGUGAAAUGCGUAGAUAUCAAGAGGAACACCUGAGGUGAAGGCGGGUUGCUGGGCCGACACUGACGCUGAGUGCGCGAAAGCCAGGGGAGCAAACGGG
rnacentral:rRNA from 1 species